AAUGUGUUUUAUUAGCCAGGUGAUGGAAGGCUGCAUCUGCAGUGAGUGGGUGUCAGGAACACGUGGGCUUCACCUGCCUUGAGGGUUGGGAUGUGAGCUCCCAGGACCCUUAGAAAAACAGGGAAGCAGUUCUUGAGCUCAAAGCUUCUGGGUGUAACUCUAUUUAUAAAAUCUUUCCUCUCCCAAGAAUGAGGAAGGGUUCAGGCUAGAUAUCAAAGACAGCCACACAAGGUGGAAACACCUUAUACAGGCUAGCAGAGGGGAUGGAGUCUUUCUGUGAAAUUUCAACACUACAGCCUCUUAGAAAUCAGUAUUUCAACAAAAUGGCUGCUUGCUGUGUUCCAGGCACGGUGGAAACUUCUGGAAAUACAUCCGCCAUGAAGCUCCUGUCAGUGCAUUUCACUUUAAACUUCAGAAGAAAGCCAAAGGCUACAGACCUCGCAUCAUCAGAGGAGACCGGCAAAGAACAGAGAAUUCAGUGUGUCAGGCAGCAGGAGGAUGAUCCUGACAGCUCAGACACUCCCACUUGCCAACAAAGAAAGACUUGCGAUUUUCACAAUAAAGAAAACUCUAAAUA